rnacentral:lncRNA from 1 species
CAGGAUAUUGCUUAAUAGUUUGGAUAGUUUUGUCUCAAUGUAAAAAUUGUUAGAGUUGGUGUACUGGACUUGAUCAUAUUUUGUAUACAGAAAACCAUUUCUUUUGAGAAAUGACAAUAGAAUGGAUGAUUAGACUUGUCUUUUGAAUUUCAUGAUUUUGUCUCAUAUACUAUGAGCACCCUGAACAAUUUUUUUAUAACCUCGAAAUUUAAAGGGAAAGUAAGUCUUGAUGCUGCCUUUUCUUCUAAUCUGGAAUAUUAUGCCAGUCAUCUGAUCUGUGAGUCUGUGACAAUUGAUAACCACCCUCGUCUUUUAGACUACUUGACUGAUACAAAUAUCUCGGUGGAAAGAGAAGUCAUGAACAACAAUGAUAAGAUAUUUUCCAUCAUCAUUUUCAUAUUUUCCUAUCUGUAAAUUUUUCUUCGGAUGUAGGAGUUAAAAUAAAUUGCUAUCUCAAGUUGAUUUACCAAUUCUUUUGCACAGAUGUUGUUGGAUCAGCAAUUGGCUUCCUGGUGUUCGCCCUGAUCCUCUCUUCAUGGUCUGUUACCUUUAUGAUUGGCGGGAACCAACUUUUCGGCCCAGUGUGGGAUAAAUUGGUUAUGUACAAUGUUGCCGAUAGAUAUGGUUUAACUGAAUUGAUGUAGAUCUACAUGUUAGUGGUUUCAGUUCCAUAAUCGACAUGAAUAUGGUAUGUCUUUUCUUUUGCUGAUAUGAAUGUUCAAGUUACUGCAUUGUACUUCACGACAAUGUUAAUUGACUGAUGUUGUACUCCUUGGAGGAGUAAAUUCAUGAGCUAAAGAACCUUUAGCUGUCUAGAAAAGGGUGGCCAGAUCCUGUUUUGUUUUGAAAACAGAGAAUUCGAUCGGAACAUAAAUUUAUUUGUUAUGUGUAGCCAACAUGCUUCUUACAUCAACGAUACGCAAUCAACAACCGAAAACAAAAUACCUAGGAAGACCUAUUGCUUUUAAGAGUGUGAUCGGUUGAGAGAUUUUUUCUUGAUUUAGUUCAGCUUGAGACAUGAUAGGUUUUAAAAAAAUUCUAAUCAUUUGGUAUUUACUCUGCUCAUAAAAUCAACUUUAUCUACCACUCAAACAUUGCUAUUGAAUGUGAAGAUAAUUGUAAGCAAGGCCAAUUCAUAUUGAAGGGAUAGAUACUUUUGUGGGUUUAGAUACUCGUACAUAAAACAAGAUCGUCGUGAAUGCGGAGGGAAAAAUCUAAAAGAUUUUUUUAACAGUCACAGAAUAAUUAGGACAAUUGACCUGCUCUUUGUAGCCUCUCUCUGGUGUGACCACCACAGGGUAAAGGCAUGCUUUUGCCAUAAUUUGUAAACUACAGGAAUGGACAUUCUAAUCUAUUCCUGUGUACUUUUUACUGACAUAUUCAUUAAUACUCCUUUUUUAUUUGCUCGAGUUAUGCACAGUCCAGGAUAUUGCUUAAUAGUUUGGAUAGUUUUGUCUCAAUGUAAAAAUUGUCAGAGUUGGUGUACUGGACUUGAUCAUAUUUUGUAUACAGAAAAACCAUUUCUUUUGAGAAAUGACAAUAGAAUGGAUGAUUAGACUUGUCUUUUGAAUUUCAUGAUUUUGUCUCAUAUACUAUGAGCACCCUGAACAAUUUUUUUAUAACCUCGAAAUUUAAAGGGAAAGUAAGUCUUGAUGCUGCCUUUUCUUCUAAUCUGGAAUAUUAUGCCAGUCAUCUGAUCUGUGAGUCUGUGACAAUUGAUAACCACCCUCGUCUUUUAGACUACUUGACUGAUACAAAUAUCUCGGUGGAAAGAGAAGUCAUGAGCAACAAUGAUAAGAUAUUUUCCAUCAUCAUUUUCAUAUUUUCGUAUCUGUAAAUUUUUCUCUGGAUGUAGGAGUUAAAAUAAAUUGCUAUCUCAAGUUGAUAUACCAAUUCUUUUGCACAGAUGUUGUUGGAUCAGCAAUUGGCUUCCUGGUGUUCGCCCUGAUCCUCUCUUCAUGGUCUGUUACCUUUAUGAUUGGCGGGAACCAACUUUUCGGCCCAGUGUGGGAUAAAUUGGUUAUGUACAAUGUUGCCGAUAGAUAUGGUUUAACUGAAUUGAUGUAGAUCUACAUGUUAGUGGUUUCAGUUCCAUAAUCGACAUGAAUAUGGUAUGUCUUUGCUUUUGCUGAUAUGAAUGUUCAAGUUACUGCAUUGUACUUCACGACAAUGUUAAUUGACUGAUGUUGUACUCCUUGGAGGAGUAAAUUCAUGAGCUAAAGAACCUUUAGCUGUCUAGAAAAGGGUGGCCAGAUCCUGUUUUGUUUUGAAAACAGAGAAUUCGAUCGGAACAUAAAUUUAUUUGUUAUGUGAUUUUAAUUGGAUCAUCAAGAUUAAUUCAGAACCCAGAAAUUCUAAAUUGUGUAUGGACAUACUCCUUAGGCAAACGCAGACAGGAUAGCCAUUUUCUUUUGUGUUUUAGUAGGUUUUUCUUUUGAAUCAAUAGGAACUAAAGAAAAUCAAUGAAGAACUUUACGUGGGAUUUCCUUACCAUAUGACUGGAUUUUGUCAUGUAUUCGACG